rnacentral:rRNA from 1 species
UAGGGAAUCUUCCGCAAUGACGCAAGUCUGACGGAGCAACGCCGCGUGAGUGAAGAAGGAUUUCGGUUCGUAAAACUCUGUUGUUAGAGAAGAACAGCGCAUAGAGUAACUGUUAUGCGUGUGACGGUAUCUAACCAGAAAGCCACGGCUAACUACGUGCCAGCAGCCGCGGUAAUACGUAGGUGGCAAGCGUUGUCCGGAUUUAUUGGGCGUAAAGCGAGCGCAGGCGGUCAAUUAAGUCUGAUGUGAAAGCCCCCGGCUCAACCGGGGAGGGUCAUUGGAAACUGGUUGACUUGAGUGCAGAAGAGGAGAGUGGAAUUCCAUGUGUAGCGGUGAAAUGCGUAGAUAUAUGGAGGAACACCAGUGGCGAAGGCGACUCUCUGGUCUGUAACUGACGCUGAGGUUCGAAAGCGUGGGUAGCAAACAGG